rnacentral:piRNA from 1 species
UCACUGGCAAAGCAAAGCAAAAUGU